AAAUAAAGACUAUGAACAACAGGGUUUCUUCGCUGUUGUUAUACAAAUUUCACUUGAUCAAGGUUUUAAAAGCUC